rnacentral:rRNA from 1 species
AUUGAACGCUGGCGGCAUGCCUUACACAUGCAAGUCGAACGGCAGCACGGGUGCUUGCACCUGGUGGCGAGUGGCGAACGGGUGAGUAAUACAUCGGAACAUGUCCUGUAGUGGGGGAUAGCCCGGCGAAAGCCGGAUUAAUACCGCAUACGAUCUACGGAUGAAAGCGGGGGACCUUCGGGCCUCGCGCUAUAGGGUUGGCCGAUGGCUGAUUAGCUAGUUGGUGGGGUAAAGGCCUACCAAGGCGACGAUCAGCAGCUGGUCUGAGAGGACGACCAGCCACACGGGGACUGAGACACGGCCCAGACUCCUACGGGAGGCAGCAGUGGGGAAUUUUGGACAAUGGGCGAAAGCCUGAUCCAGCAAUGCCGCGUGUGUGAAGAAGGCCUUCGGGUUGUAAAGCACUUUUGUCCGGAAAGAAAUCCUUGGCCCUAAUACGGUCGGGGGAUGACGGUACCGGAAGAAUAAGCACCGGCUAACUACGUG